UAGGUCACGAGGAUAAGGAAUGCGCAGGUGCAAGACAUCAGCAACAGCAGCAGGCAGCAUGGAAGAGGGCAGAGCAUAAGAGUGUAAGAGCACAAGAGCAAGAGCCACCUACAUCUUUAUUGCAGAAUUCUUAUACAGCCACCUGCUUCCCUGCCCUCCACUACUAUAGAAGCGAUAACUCUAAACGCUUAACACCCAGCUUCUCCUGAAGAUGCGACAGGGUAUAAGACAGUCACGAAUAACAAGGCAAAUUUAUGUAAGUCUCUGGACUGAUGACCUUUCCCAAGUGAAAAGGAGAAGCCUUGCUAUUGACAACAGUUUUUGCCUUUACUGUUGUCUUCCCAUUUUUAUAGCUCAUAACAGAGACAUGACAUUGGGUUGACCAUGUCUCUACAAGGUGACAACAGUGAAGAAUGAGACUUCUCUGCAUCCUCAUGAAAGCUGAGUUCAGCAAACUUAAGUCCGACUGCAGAGCAGAAGACGACAAGGCGGUGGUGGUGGUGGUAGGUGAUUGGGUUCCUUCUUCUCCUGUCAUUAGUCACCUACCCAUUAGCAGCUGGAACUCUUCACCGGGUCUGGUCUCGACCAGAUGGGCCCAUCAGGGCGGCAGCGUCUGCUUCACGAGCCUGGCCCCUUGUCUUCUGUCCUUUCACCCAAGGUGUGGUAAGGCCUUCUGGCUUUGGUCAUGUCUGGACGGCCCUCACCAUUUCCUGUUUUCUUCUCAACUUGUCUCACCCGUGUAACCAAUUCCUUACAUUAAAGUCUCUCUGGCCCUUGGAACACUUGAAAAAAUUUUAAAUUUCUUUGAUGAAAAAUAAAUUGAUACGCUUAAAAAUUUGGAUUCUCAGUUUUACAC
ensembl:lincRNA uncharacterized LOC102030507